rnacentral:rRNA from 1 species
UACAGAGAGUGCAAACGUUGUUCGGAAUUACUGGGCUUGAAGCGCACGUAGGCGGCGUUGUAAGUGUCGGGUGAAAUCCCACGGCUCACCCGUGGAACUGCCCGGCAUACUGCGAUGCUAGAGUGUGGUAGGGGAGAGCGGAACUCCUGGUGGAGCGGUGAAAUGCGUAGAUAUCGGGAGGAACACCGGUGGCGAAGGCGGCGACCUGGGUAGAUACUGACGCUGAGGUGCGAAAGCGUGGGGAGCAAACAGG